CCGGCAGUGAUGGGAGCAGCGGUGGUCGGGAUGCUGGUGGCCACCGCAGCCUCGCUGCUGGCCGUGCGCUGGGUCGCCCGCCACCGGGACACCCUCCCUCGGCUGCACGAGCUGCUCUUCCGCACGGCCAGCCCCGGCGCCCAGGAGCCCGUGGCCACCCCGGAGGAUGCCGAAACGGUCGCAGGCAGGGAGGAAGGAGCAGCCCCAGCCCCGGGAGACCCGGCUGCCCCUGGCACAG